ACGGCUCAGUAACACGUGGACAACCUACCCUUAGGACGGGGAUAAACCCGGGAAACUGGGUAUAAUACCCGAUAGUCCUCGGCUGCUGGAAUGCACCGAGUACUAAAGCUCCGGCGCCUAAGGAUGGGUCUGCGGCCUAUCAGGUAGUAGUGGGUGUAGCGUACCUACUAGCCUACGACGGGUACGGGUUGUGAGAGCAAGAGCCCGGAGAUGGAUUCUGAGACACGAAUCCAGGCCCUACGGGGUGCAGCAGGCGCGAAAACUUUACAAUGCUGGCAACAGCGAUAAGGGGACCUCGAGUGCCAGGUUACAAAUCUGGCUGUCGUGAUGCCUAAAAAGCAUUGCAUAGCAAGGGCCGGGCAAGACCGGUGCCAGCCGCCGCGGUAACACCGGCGGCUCGAGUGGUAACCGUUAUUAUUGGGUCUAAAGGGUCUGUAGCCGGCCGGAUAAGUCUCUUGGGAAAUCUGGCAGCUUAACUGUCAGGCUUUCAGGAGAUACUGUCUGGCUCGAGGCCGGGAGAGGUGAGAGGUACUUCAGGGGUAGGGGUGAAAUCUUGUAAUCCUUGAAGGACCACCAGUGGCGAAGGCGUCUCACCAGAACGGACCUGACGGCAAGGGACGAAAGCUAGGGGCACGAACCGGAUUAGAUACCCGGGUAGUCCUAGCCGUAAACGAUACUCGCUAGGUGUCGGCCACGGUGCGACCGUUGUCGGUGCCGUAGGGAAGCCGUGAAGCGAGCCACCUGGGAAGUACGGCCGCAAGGCUGAAACUUAAAGGAAUUGGCGGGGGAGA
rnacentral:rRNA from 1 species